rnacentral:ribozyme from 17 species
UUUUUUUUUUUUUUUUUUUUUUUUUUCCCAAAAAAAAAAGGUACGUCUAAAUCUG